rnacentral:rRNA from 1 species
UACGUAGGGUGCGAGCGUUAAUCGGAAUUACUGGGCGUAAAGCGUGCGCAGGCGGUUUUGCAAGCCGGAUGUGAAAUCCCCGGGCCUUAACCUGGGAAUGGCAUUUGGGACUGCAAGGCUGGAGUGCGGCAGAGGAGACUGGAAUUCCUGGUGUAGCAGUGAAAUGCGUAGAUAUCAGGAGGAACACCGAUGGCGAAGGCAGGUCUCUGGGCUGACACUGACGCUCAUGCACGAAAGCGUGGGGAGCAAACAGG